rnacentral:rRNA from 1 species
UGAACGCUGGCGGCGUGCUUAACACAUGCAAGUCGAACGAAGCAUUUAAGACAGAUUACUUCGGUUUGAAGUCUUUUAUGACUGAGUGGCGGACGGGUGAGUAACGCGUGGGUAACCUGCCUCAUACAGGGGGAUAGCAGCUGGAAACGGCUGGUAAUACCGCAUAAGCGCACGGUAUCGCAUGAUACAGUGUGAAAAACUCCGGUGGUAUGAGAUGGACCCGCGUCUGAUUAGCUGGUUGGUGAGGUAACGGCCCACCAAGGCGACGAUCAGUAGCCGACCUGAGAGGGUGACCGGCCACAUUGGGACUGAGACACGGCCCAGACUCCUACGGGAGGCAGCAGUGGGGAAUAUUGCACAAUGGAGGAAACUCUGAUGCAGCGACGCCGCGUGAGUGAAGAAGUAUUUCGGUAUGUAAAGCUCUAUCAGCAGGGAAGAAGAAAUGACGGUACCUGACUAAGAAGCCCCGGCUAACUACGUG